rnacentral:rRNA from 1 species
CUAACAAGGAUUCCCCUAGUAACUGCGAGUGAAGCGGGAAAAGCUCAAAUUUAAAAUCUGGCGGUCUUUGGCCCGUCCGAGUUGUAGUCUGGAGAAGUGCUUUCCGUGCUGGACCGUGUAUAAGUCUCUUGGAACAGAGCGUCAUAGAGGGUGAGAAUCCUGUCUUUGACACGGACUACCAGUGCUUUGUGAUGCGCUCUCAAAGAGUCGCGUUGUUUGGGAAUGCAGCGCAAAAUGGGUGGUGAAUUCCAUCUAAAGCUAAAUAUUGGCGAGAGACCGAUAGCGAACAAGUACCGUGAGGGAAAGAUGAAAAGCACUUUGGAAAGAGAGUUAAACAGUACGUGAAAUUGCUGAAAGGGAAACGCUUGAAGUCAGUCGCGUUGUCCGGGACUCAGCCUUGCUUCGGCUUGGUGCACUUCCCGGAUGACGGGCCAGCAUCGAUUUUGACCGCUGGAAAAGGGCUGGAGGAAUGUGGCACCUUCGGGUGUGUUAUAGCCUCCAGUCGCAUACGGCGGUUGGGAUCGAGGAACGCAGCACGCCUUUAUGGCGGGGGUUCGCCCACCUUCGUGCUUAGGAUGCUGGCAUAAUGGCUUUAAACGACCCGUCUUGAAACACGGACCAAGGAGUCUAACAUGCCUGCGAGUGUUUGGGUGGAAAACCCGAGCGCGUAAUGAAAGUGAAAGUCGGGACCUCUGUCGUGGAGGGCACCGAUGCCCGGACCUGACGUUCUCUGACGGAUCCGCGGUAGAGCAUGUAUGUUGGGACCCGAAAGAUGGUGAACUAUGCCUGAAUAGGGUGAAGCCAGAGGAAACUCUGGUGGAGGCUCGUAGCGAUUCUGACGUGCAAAUCGAUCGUCAAAUUUGGGUAUAGGGGCGAAAGACUAAUCGAACCAU